GAUGAACGCUGGCGGCGUGCCUAAUACAUGCAAGUCGAGCGAACGGACGAGAAGCUUGCUUCUCUGAUGUUAGCGGCGGACGGGUGAGUAACACGUGGAUAACCUACCUAUAAGACUGGGAUAACUUCGGGAAACCGGAGCUAAUACCGGAUAAUAUUUUGAACCGCAUGGUUCAAAAGUAAAAGACGGUCUUGCUGUCACUUAUAGAUGGAUCCGCGCUGCAUUAGCUAGUUGGUAAGGUAACGGCUUACCAAGGCAACGAUGCAUAGCCGACCUGAGGGGGUGAUCGGCCACACUGGAACUGAGACACGGUCCAGACUCCUACGGGAGGCAGCAGUAGGGAAUCCUCCGCAAUGGGCGAAAGCCUGACGGAGCAACGCCGCGUGAGUGAUGAAGGUCUUCGGAUCGUAAAACUCUGUUAUUAGGGAAGAACAUAUGUGUAAGUAACUGUGCACAUCUUGACGGUACCUAAUCAGAAAGCCACGGCUAACUACGUG
rnacentral:rRNA from 1 species